UACGUAGGGGGCAAGCGUUGUCCGGAUUUAUUGGGCGUAAAGAGCGUGUAGGCGGUCAGGUAGGUCCGUUGUGAAAACUCGAGGCUCAACCUCGAGACGCCGAUGGAAACCAUCUGGCUAGAGUCCGGAAGAGGAGAGUGGAAUUCCUGGUGUAGCGGUGAAAUGCGCAGAUAUCAGGAAGAACACCCGUGGCGAAAGCGGCUCUCUGGGACGGUACUGACGCUGAGACGCGAAAGCGUGGGGAGCGAACAGG
rnacentral:rRNA from 1 species